UCGCCAUUGGAGCAAUGGACGAAGCGGUUCCAGGAGGCCGAGAGGCUGGUGGAGGAGGUGAUGGGGAACAUCGCCGAGAGGGGGUCCGUCCCGGCGUCGCUGUCGCUGGAGCUGAAGCGCCGGACCGGGGAGAUCCGGCGGAAGGUGGCCAUCCUCGAGACCCGGCUGAGCCUCAUGAGGGAGGACCUCGACCGACUCCCCAACAGGAACGUGAAGGAGAUGCGCAAGCUGGCGGAGAAGUUCGAUGCUCUCGAGCUGAAGGUGAGGGAGGUGGCUGCGCCGUUCACCAUGAAGAAGCACUCAUCCAACAGGAACGAGCUGCUUGGACCGAACGACGACAGGUGCACGGUGGUGGACAUAAAGAGCACGGCCAACAUGGAGAACCAAGAGAUUGUCCAGUUGCAGAGGAACAUUAUGAAAGAGCAAGAUGAGUGUCUGGACAGGCUGGAGGAGACCAUAGUCAGCACCAAGCACAUCGCGCUGGCCAUCAACGAGGAGCUGGACCUGCACGUCAGGCUAAUUGAUGAUCUGGACGAGAGGGUCGAGGACACGAGCACCCAGCUGCAGCGCGCGCAGAAGAAGCUCAAGUCUCUCAACACACGGAUGCGGAAAAGCGGGUCCUGCACAGGCAUCCUCGUGUCAAUCAUCGCAGGUGUGAUCUUCGUCGCCGUGGUCUGGGCGCUGAUCAAGUUCUAG
rnacentral:rRNA from 1 species